rnacentral:rRNA from 1 species
GGUCAGUAUAAGCACUAUACUGUGAAACUGCGAAUGGCUCAUUAAAUCAGUUAUCGUUUAUUUGAUAGUACCUUCUUACCUGGAUAACCGUGGUAAUUCUAGAGCUAAUACAUGCUAAAAACCCCGACUCGCGAAGGGGUGUAUUUAUUAGAUAAAAAACCAAUGCCCUUCGGGGCUCCUUGGUGAUUCAUGAUAACUAAACGAAUCGCAUGGCCUUGCGCCGGCGAUGGUUCAUUCAAAUUUCUGCCCUAUCAACUUUCGAUGGUACUGUAGUGGAGUACCAUGGUUUCGACGGGUAACGGGCGAUUAGGGUUGGACGCCGGAGAGGGAGCCUGAGAAACGGCUACCACAUCCAAGGAAGGCAGCAGGCGCGCAAAUUACCCAAUCCCGACACGGGGAGGUAGUGACAAUACAUACUGAUACAGGGCUCUUUUGGGUCUUGUAAUUGGAAUGAGCGAAAUUUAAAUACCUCAACGAGGAACAAUUGGAGGGCAAGUCUGGUGCCAGCAGCCGCGGUAAUUCCAGCUCCAAUAGCGUAUAUUAAAGUUGUUGCAGUUAAAAAGCUCGUAGUUGAACCUUGGGCCUGGCUGACCGGUCCGCCUCACCGCGUGCACUGGUUCGGCCGGGCCUUUCCUUCUGGGGAGCCGCAUGCCCUUCACUGGGUGUGCCGGGGAACCAGGACUUUUACUUUGAAAAAAUUAGAGUGUUCAAAGCAGGCCUAUGCUCGGAUACAUUAGCAUGGAAUAAUAGAAUAGGACGCGUGGUUCUAUUUUGUUGGUUUCUAGGACCGCCGUAAUGAUUAAUAGGGAUAGUCGGGGGCAUCAGUAUUCAAUUGUCAGAGGUGAAAUUCUUGGAUUUAUUGAAGACUAACUACUGCGAAAGCAUUUGCCAAGGAUGUUUUCAUUAAUCAGUGAACGAAAGUUAGGGGAUCGAAGACGAUCAAAUACC